UGCCCGCCACCGUGCUCACCCACGCCAGCAGCAGCCACGAUCUCGUCACCGCCGCUGGGGAGAUGAGCGCCGCCGCGGAGGCCACCUCCCCGCCCAUCAGUAGCACUGCAUGGCACCGAUCGACAACCAGGUUAAAGGUUGCAAGGUCCAUCAUAUCCUGAUCACAGCUGGGGUAAGGUAGGCUAGGUGCCGACGGUUUACUGGCGGAAAGCUUGUGAUUGAACAUGGCGGACGAUCACAGCCGCAGCUGCAUGCAUGGGUGAUUGAACACAUCAAGAUACAGAAUAAUCAACACGCCGAUCAUCAUGUCGCAGCUUAUCUAGCUAGCUAGCUGAUGCUGAUGGUGAAUAUAAGAGUUUGAGGUGAGAAAUCCUCUGAUCCACGCAAUUGCUAUACUACGUACUGCUUGAUUAUCUAGCGCCUUUAUUUGGAGUUUUAUUUAAUUUGGACAGACGACGACAGAGCUAUACUAGCUGCAUUCGUCGUUCAGAACUUAAUUAUUCCCUCA